GAGGAUAUCAGCAGAAAAAAAAAUUCCCUCUCCCCUUUUGGAGAAACACUUGCUGUGCUUUUAUUUUACUCGAAUAUCUCUCUCCCCUUCCAAAAGAGAAAACUGUACUGUGCUGCAUGAGGUCUUUAUUGGUUUCCAUCUUGAUCAUUC